GAUGAACGCUGGCGGCGUGCUUAACACAUGCAAGUCGAACGAUGAAGCCCAGCUUGCUGGGUGGUUUAGUGGCGAACGGGUGAGUAACACGUGAGUAACCUGCCCUUAACUCUGGGAUAAGCCUGGGAAACUGGGUCUAAUACCGGAUAGGAGCGUCCACCGCAGGGUGGGAGUUGGAAAGAUUUAGCGGUUUUGGAUGGACGCGCGGCUUAUCAGCUUUGUGGUGAGGUAAUGGCUCACCAAGGCGACGACGGGUAGCCCGCCUGAGAGGGUGACCGGCCACACUGGGACUGAGACACGGCCCAGACUCCUACGGUAGGCAGCAGUGGGGAAUAUUGCACAAUGGGCGCAAGCCUGAUGCAGCGACGCCGCGUGUGGGAUGACGGCCUUCGGGUUGUAAACCUCUUUCAGUAGGGAACAAGCGAAAGUGACGGUACCUGCAGAAGAAGCACCGGCUAACUACGUG
rnacentral:rRNA from 1 species